AACCUGGAUCGAUGCCGUCCUCCAUAACUGUCUGUCUCGCCGUCGUGAGCGGAUUUCACCGGCGUCACUAACUGCUGGCUUUCCGUCCACCGAGAUGCCCGUGAUGCGCGGAUGACAGGAUGACGGCGAGCGGGGCUGGAAAACACAAGCUUCUUGUCAUGGGACCCACGGAGCCAUGGUCAGUGAGGGAGAAGCUGUGUUUGGCCACGUCCGUGAUGAAGAGCGGGGAUCAGAACUGGGUGUCUGUCAGCCGAGCCAUCAAGCCAUUUGCAGAACCUGGGCGACCACCUGACUGGUUCUCUCAAAAGCACUGUGCCUCAAAGUACUCAGAGCUGUUAGAAACUACAGAAGCCCCAAACCCCAAACAGUAUCUAAAGCUCGUCAGUCAUGCUCCUAUCGCCUCCAGGAGGAAGCGUGGUGAGAAGGGUGAGGUGGUGGAGACAGUGGAGGAUGUGAUCGUGCGCCGGCUGACGGCCGAGAGGAUCGACGAGCUGAAGCGGUUGAUUAAAGAAACGCAGGAGAAGCACAGGAGGAUGAAGAGGGAGGCUGAACUCAUUCAGGCAGGACAUCUAGAUUCCAAACUGGCGGAAUUAUGGGGAGAAAUUCUUCAGAAGAAGAAAAAGGACGAGGAAGAAGCACUUUUGAAAAGGAAGAACACGGAUGCUGCAUAUCAGGCCAGACAGGUAGCAAAGAACACACCUAAGCGAAUGUCCGGUGUUACCAUGCAUUCGCCCUCAGGCUGUAGCUCCCCGAGCCCGGAGUUCUCGCCAGGCGACCCGCUCGAGUGCUUGACGCUGGAUUUGGCAUCUGCAAAGAAUGCUUCAGGACCGACCAGACUGAUGCCUUUCGCCGACUCUUCUGGACACGGAAGUGAUGACGUCAGCCACGUAUCACUCCUGGACGACCCCACUCAAAAGAAGCUGCUGUGCCAGAGAGCCACACCGCCACCAUCACCACUCCUGUCUGAGUUACUGAAGAAAGGCAGUAUCUUGGCUUCAAAUUCCAGACUGAUUGGGGAGGAGGACGUGGUGACUGGUAGUAUGGCAGGAGCACACGACCUGCAGCUGGCGCUGCCCAGUCAACCUCUGUCUCAAGCAACAGGUGCCCCGAUGCUGUCGCGGCUCCUGGAGGCAGGUCCUGCCCAGUUUUCUGCACCGGCCGGUUUCAUGAUCACCGCAGACUCAGCCUCCGGCGCUCCUCUGUCGGCGGCCACUCCCGUUCCCGUCGACUCCUCCGCCUCAGCAAAGACAGAAAGUAAGGUGUCAGGGCUCAGUGAGGAGGAUGUGACUGUGGCCUAUAUAGGAGAUGAGCUGGACCUAAAGACAGUGGGCGACAUUAUUGCCAUCAUUGAAGAUAAGGCAGAUGAGGCUGCAGAGGUGUUGGAUGCAGCUGCAGUGGAGGCUGCUUUGUCCCUGUGUGAGGAGAACGGCCAUGCUCUGUCGGGUGCCUGGGAGACCGGCCCGUUCCAGGUCCACGGGUCCCACCACACGGCCCCACAGCCGUCCUCUCUUCACUGUAGCCUGGAGGUGAAGACAGAGGUGUUGGAGGUUCAGGAUGGGACGCCGUCGCUCCCCUCUCUGUGCAGCAGUCAAGACGGCUGCCUUGCGACAUACCCCGUUGGGUUGGCGAGCCUCCCCCCCGGCUCCUCGUCCAUUUGCAGCUUGAAGAGCUUGGAGCGCUGCCCCACUGGCGCGUCGAAGCGGCCUGAGGCAGCUCGGGAGUCCGGGGAGGCGUUGCUCUCGAAAAGCCAGGUUUCCUUGGAUGUUUCUCUCAAAUGCGAGAAGCAGAAGUGGGCACAACAAAGACAUGACAAACCCCACAGAGACCCAGUAUUUGAAGAUAGCCCACAGACAGACAGGCAUCCCAAGGAGGCAAAGGCGGAAUACGGACUAAACGUCGGUGGCGUCUCAGGGACUAAAGUGGACGACGAGUCCCCCGGGCCGGAAGCGUGCGGGGAGGAAGAGGGCGACGGGGUGGAGGAGUUCUUCUCAGAGGCGGAGCUGGAGCCCGCGGCCAGCGAAAGCGAGGACGGCUACAGCCUCCACACGGCGUCCUCGUCUCUCCAGCUCCACACCACCGCAGACUCCAUCCCCAGCAGCCCCGCCUCCUCCCAGUUCUCUGUGUGCAGCGAGGACCUUGAAGCUCUGCAAGCUCACAAGAUCUGGAAGAAAGCCAUUAUGUUGGUGUGGCGCGCAGCGGCCAACCACAGGUAUGCAAAUGUCUUCCUGCAGCCAGUAACUGAUGAAAUUGCACCUGGAUACCACAGUAUUGUGCACAGACCCAUGGACCUGGCCACCAUCAAAAAGAACAUAGAGACCGGUUUGAUACGGACCACUGCUGAGUUCCAGCGGGACAUCAUGCUGAUGUUUCAAAACGCCGUCAUGUACAACAGCCUGGACCACGACGUCUACCACAUGGCCCUGGAGAUGCAGCGCGACGUCCUGGAGCAGAUCCAGCAGUUUCUAGCCACGCAGCUUAUCAUGGAGACGUCAGAGUCUGGCAUCAGCGCCAAGAGUCUGAGGGGCCGUGAGAACGCACGCAAACAGGACUCCACUGACAAGGUGCUUCACUAGAAUUUUGACAAAAGCAGAGAGUACAGAAGAAGAGACAAGGGUGAGACAACAGGCUGGCUUAAAGGACUCUGUCUCCAUGUCCUCUCCUGCCUUCCUACUUUCUCUCUUUGACGGAGGCACCAGAGGGCGCCGCUGUGCCAUCGAAGCUGACCUCAAAAUGAAGAAAUGAAGACUGAAUUUACUCAUUUGCACAGAUUCAGUGUAAACCACGCACUCUCGGUUAAAUGGGCGGAGGAGAAGCUGGUUUCUUCUAAGAGAGUCACAUGCACAUGCAUCACAUACUGUAUAACCGUUGAAUACAUGUUCCAACCUUCCACAGGGGCAGCUGGAGAAGACUGAAUGUCAGGUUACAUAAAUGAGAUUUGGGCUGAUCUGUUUAUCAUUUUAGUUUGCAUUUUCAUUGAAUAUAAUAUUUAGAUUUUUUUGUUCUCUAAAUUUAAAAUGCUGUCGUUUUAAAUAUGACUUUUUCAUGAAUUUAUUUUCUAUAUUACGUCUCCAGUGAAACCGUACAAACAAGAAAAUUCUUGUUUUUUUUGGUGUUCUCGUUAUGUUGGUUAAAUAUUCUGUGAAACUUACAAUGUUCAAAAGUAAAAGUGUAUAAAGUCCCUCAA